rnacentral:rRNA from 1 species
UGGUAGCAAUACUGGGCUGACCUAGUGGCGAACGGGUGCGUAACACGUGACCAACCUGCCUGAAAGUGGGGGAUAGCUCGGCGAAAGCCGGAUUAAUACCGCAUGUGAUCGCAAGAUUAAAGCAGCAAUGCGCUUUUAGAGGGGGUCGCGGCCUAUCAGCUAGUUGGUGAGGUAAAGGCUUACCAAGGCAGCGACGGGUAGCUGGUCUGAGAGGACGACCAGCCACACUGGAACUGAGACACGGUCCAGACACCUACGGGUGGCAGCAGUCGAGAAUUUUUCUCAAUGGGGGAAACCCUGAAGGAGCGACGCCGCGUGGAGGAUGAAGGCUUUCGGGUUGUAAACUCCUGUCAUCUGGGAACAAAACUCGCAAGAGCUUGAUAGUACCAGAAGAGGAAGAGACGGCUAACUCUGUGCCAGCAGCCGCGGUAAUACAGAGGUCUCAAGCGUUGUUCGGAUUCAUUGGGCGUAAAGGGCGCGUAGGCGGUGGGGUAAGUCUGGUGUGAAAUCUCGGAGCUCAACUUCGAAAUUGCACUGGAUACUGCUCUGCUAGAGGGCUGGAGAGGAGAUCGGAAUUCUCGGUGUAGCA